rnacentral:rRNA from 1 species
UACGUAAGGGGCAAGCGUUGUCCGGCAUCACUGGGCGUAAAGCGCACGUAGGCGGUUUAGCAAGUUAGGGGUGCAAGCUCCAGGCUUAACCUGGAAACUGCCUCUAAAACUACUUCACUUGAGUAUUAGAGGGGAAGCUGGAAUUCACGGUGUAGCGGUGAAAUGCGUAGAUAUCAGGAGGAACACCGGUGGUGUAGACGGCUUUCUGGACCGUAACUGACGCUGAGACACGAAAGCGUGGGUAGCAAACAGG